ACAGGAACGGGAAGCCGUUCUUGCUGAAAUGGAUGCCAUCGGCAGAGAAGCGGAGUUGCGAGGCUUCGAAUAUGUGAAGGCUGUGACACUGGUGCUCGAACCAUUCACGGUGGAGAACGGACUUCUCACUCCAACAUUUAAGAUCAAGAGGCCUCAAGCCAAAGCCCACUUUGCUAAGGCGAUAUCGGACAUGUACACUGAGCUCUCUACAUCCGAUCCAUCUCCUGAUGCGUAAGUCGCGAAUAACAUCUGAAAAUUUAAAUAUUUCAUUUGUAUACGGAGAAAUUAAUCAAGGGUACGAGGCAGAAGCUGAUUGCUGUACACGCUACGAAAUUAGGUCUCUGUAAUUUGCUCUCCUGUUUGAUUGUAUACUCUUAACGGUGCAGUUUAAGCAUUCAGUCUUAGGUGAAUACUGUCGCCAUCGCUGUUCGCUUUUAAGCUGAUUCGGCAUAUCAUCCUACAAUUUAUUGUAA